rnacentral:tRNA from 1 species
ACCUUUUAAGUAUCCUCAUAGUACACCUGCCUUCCAAGCAGGAAGUUUAAUUUAUUUUAAAAAAGGUA